GACGAACGCUGGCGGCGUGCUUAACACAUGCAAGUCGAGCGGUAAGGCCCUUCGGGUACGACGAGCGGCGAACGGGUGAGUAACACGUGGGUGACCUGCCUCUAGCUCUGGGAUAAGCCUGGGAAACUGGGUCUAAUACCGGAUAUGACACCACGGCGCAUGUUGUGGGGUGGAAAGCCUUGUGUGGCUAGAGAUGGGCCCGCGGCCUAUCAGCUUGUUGGUGGGGNGAUGGCCUACCAAGGCGACGACGGGUAGGCCGGCCUGAGAGGGCGGACCGGCCACACUGGGACUGAGACACGGCCCAGACUCCUACGGGAGGGCAGCAGUGGGGAAUCUUGCGCAAUGGGCGAAAGCCUGACGCAGCGACGCCGCGUGAGGGA
rnacentral:rRNA from 1 species